GGACUACACGGGUAUCUAAUCCUGUUUGAUCCCCUUGCUCUCGCGCCUCAGCGUCAGGUGUUAACUAGAGAACCGCUUUCGCCACCGGUGUUCUUCCACAUAUCUACGCAUUUCACCGCUACACGUGGAAUUCCGUUCUCUCCGUCAAUCCUCAAGAUUGGCAGUUUCAAAUGCAGCUCCGGAAUUGAGUCCCGGAAUUUCACAUCUGACUUACCUAUCCGCCUACGCGCCCUUUACGCCCAAUAAUUCCGAUUAAUGCUUGCACCCUCCGUAUUACCGCGGCUGCUGGCAC
rnacentral:rRNA from 1 species